GACAAGUAAUUCAGACUUGAUAAUAAGAACAAUUCGAAGGAGUAUUGUAAUGAUGAGAAUUCGAAUAAUUUUUAGAUGUGUAUUUCUUGAGAAAUAUUCAGGUGAUGCUCGGUGCCCGUGAAAAGGGAAACUGAAAAGAUCUUUAGUAUUCAUACCCAGAACCAGCACAGGUGCCCCUAGGUGAGAAGCCUAAAGUGUGAAGGGACAAUCUAGUUAAGGGAAUUCGGCAAAUUAGCCCCGUACCUUCGGUAUAAGGGGUCCCUGGACUUGUAUACUUAUGUAUGCGUUUUCAGGGCGCAGUGACAAAGGGUGUCCGACUGUUUAACAAAAACAUAACCAACUGCAAGCCUGUAAAGGUGUGAAUAGUUGGUGACGUCUGCCCAGUGCCUGUACUUCAAACUUCGUUUCAACGGAGCAAAGAGCGGGUAAACGGCGGGGGUAACUAUAACUCUCUUAAGGUAGCUAAAUGCCUUGCCGUUUGAUUGACGGCCUGCAUGAAUGGCGUAACGAGAUGCCCACUGUCCCUAACUAGAACCCUCCGAAUUUUCCAUUCUGGUGCAAAGGCCAGAGACUUCCAGUGGGAAGCGAAGACCCCGUGAAACUUUACUGUAGCCUGUCGUUGCAAGGCAGAAUUAGUUGUAUAGCGUAAGUAGGAGAUGUUUAAAGAUAUGGACGCCAGUUCAUAUUUAGUCAACAAUGUAACACUACUCUUCGAAUUUUACCUUGCUAACCACAAAAGUGGGACACCGAUUGGUGGACAGUUUGGCUGGGGUGGCACGCUGUUGAAAAGAUAUCAACAGCGCCCAAAGGUUGGCUCAGACGGGUCAGAAAUCCGCUGUAGAGUGCAAGAGCAAAAGCCAGCCUAACUAGGACAUAAACGGGAAGUGUCUUAGUAGAGAAAUCUAGGUCUAGCGAACUCCUACUUCUCCUUGACUGGGGGGUAGGCAUGACCGAAAAGUUACUCCGGGGAUAACAGAGUUGUCGCGCCCGAGAGCUCUUAUCGACGGCGCGGCUUGCUACAUCGAUGUCGGCUCUUCCUAUCCUGGCUGUGCAGAAGCGGCCAAGGGUGGGGGUGUUCACCCAUUAAAAGGGAUCGUGAGCUGGGUUCAGAACGCUGUGAGGCAGUUUGUUUGAUAUCUACUGGAAGUGUUGGAGAUCUGAAGGGAAGGAUCUCUUAGUACGAGAGGAACGGAGAAUCGACGCCACUGGUCUACCAGUUAUCCGAAAGGGUAUGCUGGGCAGCUACGCGUUAAGGGAUAAGUGCUGAAAGCAUCUAAGCACGAAACCUGCCUUGAAAAGAGAUCUCUUAGACGCCUAUAGAAGAUAGGUUUGAUAGAAACGGCGUGUACGUACCAAGGUAACGAGGUAUUUAGCGCGCGUUUACUAAACGUCGUAUCCACUUUU
rnacentral:rRNA from 1 species